UCCCAUUACAUGUUGGUGCAUUUUUUUUGUUGCAAGUAAAUGGUCGCUGUCUCUUUAAGAAGUUCUAAAAGUAACGGUUGGAGCAGUUAGCAGCUGUUAAGUAUCGCUGUGGUGUUCUGUGAUCCGGUGGAGCCAAGGGGGAAAAAAAAGCAGGAGCAAUAAUUUUAUUCGCAUCCAGUUCGGUAGUAUCAACUUUCCCUGUCGUUUCUUCGGGGUUGUGACCACGUCAAGCUAAACCCCGUAGUAUUUGAUUUUGAUUUUAUGACCUUGUUGAAAACUUAAGACCGACCGUUAGCGGACGUUGUAGCACGUUAGCUUUAAGCUAACGUUGGUGUGCAGUGAUACUGUGGAGCCACGCGGUGCUGCAAUAAGUUACAAAAAGCAACGUUAUCUUCAUAAUGCAGAUAGGCUGAAAGAAUAUUAAUGGUUUCUGGACAUGUCAAAUCUGUUUGGAAGGCUAACAUAUGAAUAGGCAGACUUAUUUCUUCGUUCAUGGGAAGCCGAGAUCAUACCAAAACUCAAAGACAUGGACGAAGAUCUACUGCCUCCUUUUGGUAUAAGCCAUCUUAGUGCCAACACAAUGUCAUACAUUUCGGAUUUUGUGGUGCCUGGUACAAGAUUACCAUUGCUCUGCUUGAAGAAGUCAUCAUCCCCAGCUGAUCUCCAUCUGUGACCCGAGUUCAUUGACAGUAUAACACCGACACCAACAACAAAGUCACCAUCCCUGUACAUCUGGUCUCAUGAAUGAUACUUGGUGUAGAACUGGGCUGGAUGGGAACCACAGCAGAUGACAGAGGACAAGUGGUAUCGCUCAGUUCCACAUUCUCCAGGUACAUUGAUGUAUUCAUUGGGAAGGACAAUCUUUGUCAUGUUGACAAAGAUUGAAGCCACAUCUUUUGGAAUAACCACUUUGUGAAAGAUGCUCAGGAAGAUCUACUGAACUCACCGUGACAUCAAUCCUCAUUUCUGCAGUCAGAAGCACACAGAACUAAAUGUCUGCCAUUUAAACAAACCUUCAAAAUGCUGAGUAAAAAUUUCCAUAUGUGAAAUGGCCUUUUUUUAAAUUACAUUUUACAAAUAAAACUUUAGAAGGCAUCUUCUUCCACUUCUAGCCAUUAUUUACAAUUCUUGAGUUUGUCGAUAUUGCCAAAAUUCAUAUUAAAUAAUAAUAUGUCCAAAUACGUUAAUAAAAUGAUCUGCCUGACAGUCGCCUGUAUUUUUAUUGCAGUAAAAAGUAGCAGUCACAUCACAGACUGCAUUGAGUAUAAUCCGUUUGUCUACAGACAGGAAUAGUGUUACCGCUGACGUGUUAAAAAUGUACUGCUGUUUUUCUUUUUUUUUAUAGUCCUAAAUAACAGCAGUGUGGUUCCCUGUGAGGUGUUUGUAGUGUCGACUAGUUAAUUUUCAUGAUUGAUGCCUCGCCGCCUGUGCACUGAACUAUAAUUUGGAACGCUUUUAAAGCCACACAUUUAGCUCAGUUCUGGUCCAGUAAUCCACCACAGCAUGAAGGGCCAUCACCUCCAUCUUGAGGAAGAAAGAAAAGUGCUCCGCCCGCCUGGUGUUUAUAUUCUAAUUUAUAUAACGUGUGCAGAAAUCGCCCCACUGUUUCUGGCCUCUUUCUUCCAAAUGAAUAUUUGUGUUUGCAGAAUGAAACAAAGAGGCAUGAUUAAAUAAAGGGAUGGGUAAGCUCAAAGAUCACUCUGGGACCUUAGAAUUAAACUUUCUGUGUGA